UACGGAGGGGGUUAGCGUUGUUCGGAAUUACUGGGCGUAAAGCGCACGUAGGCGGAUUGACAAGUAUAGGGUGAAAUCCCGGGGCUCAACCCCGGAACUGCCUUAUAAACUGUCAGUCUUGAGUUCGAGAGAGGUGAGUGGAAUUCCGAGUGUAGAGGUGAAAUUCGUAGAUAUUCGGAGGAACACCAGUGGCGAAGGCGGCUCACUGGCUCGAUACUGACGCUGAGGUGCGAAAGCGUGGGGAGCAAACAGG
rnacentral:rRNA from 1 species